UGCCUGGUUGGAGCAAGCAUUUUGAUGGCCAUGUUGGACAGGCCACAGUCAAGCAUUGCCUUUGUCAGACAAGGAUCAUGAAGAGAGGGCAAAAAGAUGUGAAUUUGUGUCUGAGCUAUUAUGAUCCACCGUCAUCGACGAUAAUUUAUGAGUAGGUGCAGAAUGGCGGGUGAUCUGGAGCUUACGUGACCGAGAAUCCGGCCCUACAAUCUUUAUGGUUGGCCUGGGGUGAAUUUGUUGUUUGCUGAUGUAUUAAAAUAGGAAGCAAGGGAAUAGGGUGUAUAAGCUAAAAUGUAAUUCUUUCCUUGUCGACUUCGGUUUUGACCCGAGGAAACAAUGUUGUGCAUAGCUCCUGUGUGAUGCUUGGACCUCUCAAAAGUAACGAUAUUGAAGAACUUUUCUUUAUGUCUAUGUACCAUGUAUUAUUCAUAAACAUAUCAAAGCACUAUCGAAAAAGCAAGGAAUAUUGAGUGAGAAUCGCUAAAUUUUACUGUAGUUAGGACUUGGAAGUAAUAGGAAUGGAGUGGGGGUAGGAUUUUCACGGCACUAGGCAUUGCAUUCAGGCGUUGUUAUAUUCAUUUAAGUGGAAAGAUAUCAUCAGUCAAUGCUAGUCUCGCUUGAUGAUAUCUUCCUCUGUUUCCAAUGACCAAAAUAAGACCAAAUCACAGUGCAUAGGAACGAGAACAUUCCAUGCCACAUUUAAACUUCUGACUAGGUUCGAGUCCGAAUUUACUCUCUGAGAAGUGAGUUAGCCACUCCUAUGCAAUUGAAUUAGAUGCACAAGAGAGAGGAGAACCGCCUAGGAAGAAAAAGGAAGUAGUAUUGAGAUUGAUUAACCUACCUCUUCCAAAAAUAGGACCCCUUCAACCAAAACAUAAAUAUCAUCAAUGUAGUCACAGAAAAAUGGAUCCUCUUGGGACCACGAACAGUUAUCAGUAUGGACAAAAACCCCCCUACUUCUCAUCUAAAUCCCCCCAAAAUUAACCAUGGACAUGCAAAAAAUGGCAGCCCAUGUUUAUCAAUUCGUAAAGACCUAAACUUAACCAACGCAGUGGUAGUCUUGUGUACAUUAUGUUUUGGGUUACAUCUUUGACGAAAACAUCAAAACAUGUUGAGCAAACUCCACUCAUCAGACUUGUCUGUCCAGUUGCCAUUUUGUCUAUGUGGGAAUAAAAGGAUGGCAGAGGGAUCGUGUAGACCUCGCUCCUCCUGUGCUCAAGGCCACAAGCAACCAAUACAGUAUGAGUGGAACACCUCGCUAUUUCCUUGAACUCACCAACAUAUAUAACUCGCAUACCUAAAUCAAUUUCUCUCAAAAGGCUUU